UACGGGGGGGGCAAGCGUUGUUCGGAAUUACUGGGCGUAAAGGGCUCGUAGGCGGCCAACUAAGUCCGACGUGAAAUCCCCAGGCUUAACCUGGGAACUGCGUCGGAUACUGGAUGGCUUGAAUCCGGGAGAGGGAUGCAGAAUUCCAGGUGUAGCGGUGAAAUGCGUAGAUAUCUGGAGGAAUACCGGUGGCGAAGGCGGCAUCCUGGACCGGCAUUGACGCUGAUGAGCGAAAGCGUGGGGAGCGAACAGG
rnacentral:rRNA from 1 species